rnacentral:rRNA from 1 species
GAUGAACGCUGGCGGCGUGCCUAAUACAUGCAAGUCGAGCGGUAAGGCCCUUCGGGGUACACGAGCGGCGGACGGGUGAGUAACGCGUAAGAAUCUACCCCAAACUGAGGGAUAAGCACCAGAAAUGGUGUCUAAUACCGCAUGUGCUCUACGGAGUAAAGCUACGGCGGUUUGGGAAGAGCUUGCGUAUGAUUAGCUAGUUGGUAAGGUAAUGGCUUACCAAGGCGACGAUCAUUAGCUGGUCUGAGAGGAUGAUCAGCCACACUGGGACUGAGACACGGCCCAGACUCCUACGGGAGGCAGCAGUAGGGAAUUUUCCACAAUGGGGGCAACCCUGAUGGAGCAACGCCGCGUGCAGGAUGAAGGCCUUCGGGUUGUAAACUGCUUUUGUCUGUGACGAAUAUGACGGUAGCAGACGAAUAAGGAUCGGCUAACUACGUGCCAGCAGCCGCCGUAA